AGUGAACGCUGGCGGUAGGCCUAACACAUGCAAGUCGAACGGCAGCACAGUAAGAGCUUGCUCUUACGGGUGGCGAGUAGCGGACGGGUGAGGAAUACAUCGGAAUCUACUUUUUCGUGGGGGAUAACGUAGGGAAACUUACGCUAAUACCGCAUACGACCUACGGGUGAAAGCAGGGGAUCUUCGGACCUUGCGCGAUUGGAUGAGCCGAUGUCGGAUUAGCUAGUUGGCGGGGUAAAGGCCCACCAAGGCGACGAUCCGUAGCUGGUCUGAGAGGAUGAUCAGCCACACUGGAACUGAGACACGGUCCAGACUCCUACGGGAGGCAGCAGUGGGGAAUAUUGGACAAUGGGCGCAAGCCUGAUCCAGCCAUACCGCGUGGGUGAAGAAGGCCUUCGGGUUGUAAAGCCCUUUUGUUGGGAAAGAAAAGCAGCAGGUUAAUACCCCGCUGUUCUGACGGUACCCAAAGAAUAAGCACCGGCUAACUUCGUG
rnacentral:rRNA from 1 species